rnacentral:lncRNA from 1 species
AACAGUAAUUUAGAAAACCUUUUGGUUUUUAUUAUCCUUGUUUUUGCUUAGCCAAUCUCCUCGUAAGCAUUUGGCUGCAGCAAUGUUACAAAAGUUUGCCCAAACACUGGAUUAGCAAAUGGAUUUUUAGAUUAAAAGAUAAUACGUUGCAAAUGCAUGGUUACCAAAUAUCUUUUGCCCCCAUAUUUAGAAAUAACAUACAGAAAUCAAAACAGACCUUGAUGAAAGCUCCUUUCUUGCUUUGGCACAGAAUCUAGUGUUAGAUUCAGAGAGAUUCUGAAUGGACUAAAUAGUGCACUGUAAGAGGUUUUACAAAGAGGAAGGAAAGAGGGAAAAAAACAAGCUUUUCUUCUAAUGCUGGUGGUUCCUGCUAGCUGCAGUGACUUUCUGCAGUUUUCCUGAUUUCUUUACAGAUUUUAUAGCUUAUAUUCAGUCAUCAAAUCUCUCUGCUUCUGCUCUGGUAUUCAAUUUCACAGACCAGAACACUCUGAGAUGAAUAACUGAUGAUGCUGAACUGAAACAGCUGAAAUUCCAUGUAUGAUUCACAAUCUAGAACUAAAUCUCUGAAAAGUUGCAUUUUCAAGUCUUGCUGUUCACAGAAAAAGUGUUCCAAGGAUGGCAGCCUCCUGUCCACACUACUCCAUUUCACUGGUCAGGGCUCUGAGGCUCUGGGACACAGCCUUGACUGGGUCAACUGCCAUGCAGAAAUUAAUAUUUCAAAUAGACUGUCAGAUCUUUAUGCUCUGAAGGGUUCUCAGAGCCUGGUGGCUCAGCAGCGUAUGUCUGCCUACAGCACGCCAAUGCCAAGCAUCGACAGAGAGAGGUCACCAAGCAUGAAGCUGCUGAAGCAGGCAACACUGGAAAUCUUGGAUACCUCUCGAUAGAUCAAGAAAUCAUUUGGAAGGAGCCAUGAAAUUCCAACAUAAAAGAAUUAGCCUUGCAAAAACCUCUUCUAUUUUACCUCAUAUAUUGUUCAACUCAUAACACUGGGAUAUCUUAGCCUACAGUGAGAACUCAUUUUUAUCUAAUACACAUAAUUAGGCCAAAUCAAUGGAUUACAGAUUAAACAAGCAGGGAAUUUAACUAUGACUGGAAGAACAUUAUGGAUCAGAAGUCCUAAUAAUAUAUGGCCAUCAUUUUAAAAUGCUGGUUAUUUAUUGAAAAUUUUAUCUUGAAGUGGCCUGCAAGAAACUAGCAGCUUUUAAGUUCUUACUAAUUUACUUCACUUGACAACAAAUAUUUAUUUACAUUAAUUUCACAUUUGGUCACAUAUUGAAUGGUUACUGAGCCCUGAGUUUUGCUUGUUUUAAAAUAAAACUGUUAGGUCCUUUGCUUGUUGUUAAAUA